AUGAUAAUUUUAAACUUAUUAAAUUUGGAAAAUGCCAAAACACAUCUAAUUAUUUUCUUAUUCAUUCUAUUUAUAAGGCAAAAGAGCAAAAUUUUGUGCCACCCAGUGGUCAUUUCAGCAAAUCCAAUGAUAUUAUAAGCAUAAAAGACAUUUGGGUGAUUUUACUUUUGAAAAUUUAGGGCCAAAUACAGGAAACACAAAGUUAAGAAUAAUUGUUAGGUGGGGCAGUCAUGAUGUAAGUCAUAGCUGCAUAAACAAAAUGCAGUUAUUAUGAGUAAUAUUUCAAAAUAAUCAGUAGCAAUGAUCUUUACUCAUUUUAGAAAGUAAAAAACAUAUUUUUCAAAGCCAUUUAAGAGUUUAUCAGAAGUCAACAGAGUUGCCAUACUAUUUUGUUGUUAAAUGGGUAUCUCUUUUAUCUGAGCACAUAAUAGUUUGGUCACAAUACAAAAGAAAACCCCAAGUCUACAUCUACUCAUUUUAUAUAUACUCCAUAUAAUAAUUUUUAGUUAAGGUUUUAUAAAUCAGACUAUUAGAAAUGAAUAAAAUCACUAACAUUGAGUUUUCCAUAUUUCUUAUUCAUCUACAUAGAAAUUACAAAAUUUAUUUUAGUAGACAAUUAUAUAUGUUCAGACAUGUAUAAACUCAUAAGAAUGUAAGUGGAUAAUGAAUUUAAAAGUUGGAUUUUAAUUUUAAGAUAUGAUUCAUCUUACCUGAAUUUAAAUAAAAAUACAUUGUUAUGUUUAAAUUACUCCCUUUAGUAAACCAUCUUCUUUUACCAUUACCUUUGACUGUUUACAUAUUAAAGUUUUGUAAUUAGUAUACAACUAUAGUCUUAAUUAUUUCUGUUAAUUACCACCUUUAUUUAAAACAACUAACUCUUGUUUUCUUCAGUCACAGAGAAAACUCGAAAGAAGACAGGAAUCCAAGGAUUGCCUAGAUGAUAAUUUACAAGUACACACUUUAGAUUACCUUAUUGAUGUUAAGAUAACAAAACAAGUAUGUAUUAAAAAUCAGCCAAACGUUUGGACAUUCUGCGAAUAUAUAAAUCAUUUGAUAAUGCAUAAGAAUAGGAAAAAAUUGAAAUGUGUUUAUGACUAAAGUUUUAUAUUUGUGGUGAUGUUAAAAUGUAUUAUUAAAUAUGUUAAAAUUAUUUCACUUUUUUCCCCUUUGAGAGGUAAAGCCUAAUACUUCUCCCCUUGAAUAUGGGCUAGACUUAUGAGCACAUUUCUAAUGAACAGAGAAAGUGGAUGUGGAUGUGACAAUGUGUAUGUUGGAAGACUAGACAAUAUCAGAGAUGAACAUGAUGGUGAAAGAAAAUAAAAGAAGAAAGCUAGUUAAUAAAAGGCACCAUUGUUUCCUCCUCUUCCUCCUCCUCCACCUCUUUAACUCUCUCUCCCUCUCUCUGAUCAACAGCUCUAGCAAAAGCCAGCUGCUAUGCGGUACAGACUUUCAGGCAGCUUUGCAGGGAGAUACAUGUGGCAAGGAACUGACAGGCCUUCAGCCAAAAGCACAUGACUGAGUCAUCUUGGAAGUGAACCCUCCACCUGCGAGAUGACUGUAGCCCUGGCUGACAUCUUGACUGCAACCUGCAAGACUUUAGGAGGCUCCAGAAACCAGCAGUAACCCAGGCCAGUGCAAAACCAAGAACAGCUGCAUUCGAAUGGAUGAGAAAAGAUGUUGCAUUUUACCCGUGAUAUAGCCCUUUCCUCAAGUGGGCAUAGUUUGGUUUGAUCAGGAGAACAUGUUCAACUCUUGGCUUCUCCCUCAGGAAUAGAAGUUAAGAAGGGAAUCUAAGGGUAACAUUCUGACUUUUCAGGGGCUACCUGAGGGACUGGAUUGUGUGUUGUAUGACGUGGAGUGCUGACAGAAAAUCCACCUACUUUGAAUAACUGGUGGCCAUGGAGAACAGAGAGUUCAGUAUCUUGUUGCAGUACCAGAGAGCCUGUGUGCAGGCAGAUACCAGAAGGAGCAAGAGAUUAUGAGAUUCUGAAAAUGUGGCAAACCUCUGGAACUGGAAAAUUACAUGCACAAGACCAGAGAAGAUGUAUGCCCACAAAGGGAAAGAGAACAACCACCACGUUUUGCUCAACCUGGGACAUUUGAAUUUGAGUAUGCAUCUCGAUGGAAGGCUCUUGAAGAAAUGGAAAAGCAGCAGCGUGAGCAGGUUGAUAGAAACAUCAGAGAAGCCAAAGAGAAACUGGAGGCAGAAAUGGAAGCAGCUAGGCAUGAACACCAAUUAAUGCUAAUGAGGCAAGAGAGAACAGGAAAUGAGAAUGGGUGAUAUGGGUCCCCGUGGAGCAAUAAACAUGGGAGAUGCGUUUAGCCCAGCCCCUGCUGGUAACCAAGGUCCUCCUCCAAUGAUGGGUAUGAAUAUGAACAACAGAGCAACUAUACCUGGCCCACCAAUGGGUCCUGGUCCUGCCAUGGGACCAGAAGGAGCCACAAAUAUGGGAACUCCAAUGAUGCCAGAUAAUGGAGCAGUGCACAAUGACAGAUUUCCUCAAGGACCGCCAUCUCAGAUGGGUUCACCUAUGGGGAGUAGAACAGGUUCUGAAACCCCUCAAGCACCAAUGAGUGGUGUAGGUCCUGUGAGUGGUGGUCCUGGUGGCUUUGGUAGAGGAAGUCAAGGGGGCAACUUUGAAGGCCCUAAUAAGCGUCGUAGAUAUUAAACAUUCGUUCAUUCCUGGCUAUCUAGAAAAAAAAAGUCAGUGGUAUGCCUUUAUACUUUUACCUGUUAUCUGGAAGAAAUGGUUUUAUUGUUAAUGUAUGUAGACUUAAAAGGUUUUUUUUUUUGUAAAACUUGAAGUUUUUGUAUUUUUCUUUAUUCAUGAGCUUUGUAGAUUAGAAUGGUAAUGAUGCUCAUCAUUUUGAAUGUUGAAAUGUGUUCGUGACUUUAGCUAAAUAUAAGUAUUCCAUAGUACUGUGAAAUCUAUGUAGUUACUUAAUCUCAAUAAAGAAAUCGUUUUGGAUAAUUUAAAACUGU